rnacentral:rRNA from 1 species
GACGAACGCUGGCGGCGUGGAUUAGGCAUGCAAGUCGAACGGUAUCAUCCUUUCGGGGGUGAGAGAGUGGCGAACUGGUGAGUAACACGUAGGUUAUCUACCCUCAAGACGGGGACAACCCAGGGAAACUUGGGCUAAUACCGGAUGUGAGCAACUUUUAGUUGUUUGAAAGGUGGCGUAAGCUGUCGCUUGGGGAUGAGCCUGCGUCCUAUUAGUUAGUUGGUGAGGUAACGGCUCACCUAGGCAAUGAUAGGUAGGCGGCCUUAACGGGUGGUCGCCCACACUGGGAUUGAGAUACGGCCCAGACUCCUACGGGAGGCAGCAGUCGAGAAUAGUCUACAAUGGUCGGAAGACUGAUAGUGCGACGCCGCGUGAAGGAAGACAGCCUUACGGGUUGUAAACUUCUUUUCUGUCAGAAGAAUAAGCUUGUCGAGACGAGUGAUGCCGGUAUGACAGGAAUAAGCAUCGGCUAACUCCGUG